UACGAAGGGGGCUAGCGUUGCUCGGAAUCACUGGGCGUAAAGGGCGCGUAGGCGGUGCUGUAAGUCUGUAGUGAAAUCUCUGGGCUCAACUCAGAGUCUGCUAUAGAAACUGCAGUGCUGGAGUGUGGGAGAGGUGAGUGGAAUUCCCGGUGUAGCGGUGAAAUGCGUAGAUAUCAGGAGGAACACCUGUGGCGAAAGCGGCUCACUGGACCACAACUGACGCUGAGGCGCGAAAGCUAGGGGAGCAAACAGG
rnacentral:rRNA from 1 species